rnacentral:rRNA from 1 species
CCUACGGGGUGCAGCAGUGAGGAAUAUUGGUCAAUGGACGAGAGUCUGAACCAGCCAAGUAGCGUGAAGGAUGACUGCCCUAUGGGUUGUAAACUUCUUUUAUAUGGGAAUAAAAUGUUCCACGUGUGGGAUUUUGCAUGUACUUUAUGAAUAAGGAUCGGCUAACUCCGUGCCAGCAGCCGCGGUAAUACGGAGGAUCCGAGCGUUAUCCGGAUUUAUUGGGUUUAAAGGGAGCGUAGAUGGGUUGUUAAGUCAGUUGUGAAAGUUUGCGGCUCAACCGUAAAAUUGCAAUUGAUACUGGCAGUCUUGAGUACAGUUGAGGUAGGCGGAAUUCGUGGUGUAGCGGUGAAAUGCUUAGAUAGCACGAAGAACCCCGAUUGCGAAGGCAGCAUACCGGCGCGCAACUGACGCUCAUGCACGAAAGCGUGGGUAUCGAACAGGAUUAGAUACCCCAGUAGUC